rnacentral:rRNA from 1 species
UUCGUAGGUGAACCUGCGGAAGGAUCAUUAUUGAAU